rnacentral:rRNA from 1 species
UACAGAGGUCUCAAGCGUUGUUCGGAUUCAUUGGGCGUAAAGGGUGCGUAGGCGGCGCGGUAAGUCGGGUGUGAAAUCUCGGAGCUUAACUCCGAAACUGCAUUCGAUACUGCCGUGCUUGAGGACUGGAGAGGAGACUGGAAUUUACGGUGUAGCGGUGAAAUGCGUAGGAUAUCGUGAAGGAAGACCAGUGGCGAAGGCGGGU